AAUCAACGCUGGCGGUGUGCCUAACACAUGCAAGUCGAACGAGAAAGAGGGGGCAACUCCUCGAGUAAAGUGGCGACCGGGUGAGUAACACGUGACUAACCUACCCUUGAGUGGGGAAUAACCUUCCGAAAGGAGGGCUAAUACCGCAUAACAUCGCGAGGCGAGAUUCCUUGUGAUCAAAGGAGCAAUUCGCUUAAGGAGGGGGUCGCGGCUGAUUAGCUAGUUGGUGAGGUAACGGCUCACCAAGGCGAUGAUCAGUAUCCGGCCUGAGAGGGCGCACGGACACACUGGAACUGAAACACGGUCCAGACUCCUACGGGAGGCAGCAGUGGGGAAUUUUGCGCAAUGGGGGAAACCCUGACGCGGCAACGCCGCGUGGAGGAUGAAGGUCUUUGGAUUGUAAACUCCUUUCGAUCGGGACGACUAUGACGGUACCGGAAGAAGAAGCACCGGCUAACUCUGUGCCAGCAGCCGCGGUAAAAC
rnacentral:rRNA from 1 species